CGUGCAGGCGGUUCGGUAAGUUGGGCGUGAAAUCUCCCGGCUCAACUGGGAGAGGUCGUCCAAUACUACCGGACUCGAGAGCAGUAGAGGAAGACGGAAUUCCCGGUGUAGUGGUGAAAUGCGUAGAUAUCGGGAGGAACACCAGUGGCGAAGGCGGUCUUCUGGACUGUUUCUGACGCUCAGACGCGAAAGCUAGGGUAGUAAACGGGAUUAGAGACCCCGGUAAUCCUAGCCGUAAACGAUGUGAACUUGGCGUCGGUGGCUUAAACACCAUCGGUGCCGCAGCUAACGCGAUAAGUUCACCGCCUGGGGACUACGAUCGCAAGAUUAAA
rnacentral:rRNA from 1 species